UUGAAAGCCUAAUAAUCUGUUCAGACAGUCCGGAUAAGAUGUACAUGGUGACACUUGAAAAUUCAACUUCUCCUAAUGCUUCUCUCAAUGAAAACAAAGAAAAUGAAAAAGGUUGUCACAUCAUAAAG